UACGGAAGGAGCAGUGGGGAAUAUUGCACAAUGGGCGCAAGCCUGAUGCAGCCAUGCCGCGUGUAUGAAGAAGGCCUUCGGGUUGUAAAGUACUUUCAGUCGUGAGGAAGGUGUUAAGGUUAAUAACCUUAGCAAUUGACGUUAGCGACAGAAGAAGCACCGGCUAACUCCGUGCCAGCAGCCGCGGUAAUACGGAGGGUGCGAGCGUUAAUCGGAAUUACUGGGCGUAAAGGGCACGCAGGCGGUUAAUUAAGUUGGAUGUGAAAUCCCCGGGCUUAACCUGGGAAUGGCAUUCAAGACUGGUUAGCUAGAGUCUUGUAGAGGGGGUAGAAUUCCAUGUGUAGCGGUGAAAUGCGUAGAGAUGUGGAGGAAUACCGGUGGCGAAGGCGGCCCCUGGACAAAGACUGACGCUCAUGUGCGAAAGCGUGGGGAGCAAACAGGGAUUAGAUACCCGU
rnacentral:rRNA from 1 species